rnacentral:lncRNA from 1 species
AUUGCAGAGGAAGCACAUCCACCUGGGGCCUGACUGUAGGGCAGACAUUGAGUGACAACCUAUUGCUCACUGGGGAAGUAAAAAUUCCCCUUUCCUCAGCUGAGACUCAAAUCCUCAUAAAAGAAAGCCGUGGCCAUGAGUGUAGGGCCGAGCCCCUGAUUCCUGGAGUCCCUCAGAGGUACAAAGCCCAAAAAACGUUGUGCAAAAGUGCCAGAAGCUGAGGGUGUGCUGCGGCGUGUGUUUGUUUGAUUAGUUUGUGGAUUUCUGUUCACAUUUUAUUGUUAAUGGUUUGUUCCUAUGUUACCCCCCUUCCUCCAAUGUUGGUUUAUUCCUGAAUGCUAUCCCCUCCUAUGACAUGCCCAUCAUUGUAAACCCCGCCCUUUGUUCCAGAACCUUCCCUGUCACUCCUGUACUAGGCCAGCCCCUCACUGCACCUCCCCCUCUGUCAAUCUCCUGAAUCUCAACACUCCAUUGGCCCAUGUGACCUGUUCUCUCUGCCCCCUUAUCCUCAUUGGUUCUUGCAGUGCCUUGUGCUCCUCCCCUGUUUAUCCCUGAUUGGUCAAACAUUUGUACCCGCCCCUGAAGCUCUGUGUAUAAAAUCCUGAGCACAGCAGCCCUGAGGGCUGUUUGGUCCCUGACUCCUUUCAGCAGUGAACCUCUCUCUGCUGGAACCUCACACUGAGAGCCUCCUGCUCCUCCUUCACCCACUCCUGGAGUGCAGCUGACAAUCCUGCCUGUCGAGCACGAGGCUCAAAGGUUCUGCCUUGGGUGCUGAUGCAGCCAAGUAUGACCGCCCCCAGGAAAGCUCUGGAUUCCUGGCCAGGCCGGCUCUGGGAUUCCUGGAGCUGUUUGAUAAGAACAAAAUCCCAUUUAACAAGUUACAGAGGAGGAGAGAAUCUACAUAGAGAAGAAUUUAACGAGAGACAGUAGAAAUCACUCUGCAAAACUGCCAAGGCAUUAGUGCCUGUGUGACCCAGAGGAGAAUUUGGCAGGCAGAAAAACCAUUUAUUUUGAUCAGAUGAAGACAACAUUUCUGCAGAGGUAGGAAUU